UUUCAGUCAUGGAUAUGGAUGCAACAAGCAAUGCACCCUGAAUUGAAUUACAAUAGCAGUUUAAGAAAAAAAUGGUCCAAAUAAUGGUUGAAGACAGAUAAUACCAA